rnacentral:rRNA from 1 species
CUGGAGGUAUCAGAAGUGCGAAUGCUGACAUAAGUAACGAUAAAGCGGGUGAAAAGCCCGCUCGCCGGAAGACCAAGGGUUCCUGUCCAACGUUAAUCGGGGCAGGGUGAGUCGACCCCUAAGGCGAGGCCGAAAGGCGUAGUCGAUGGGAAACGGGUUAAUAUUCCCGUACUUGGUGUUACUGCGAAGGGGGGACGGAGAAGGCUAUGUUGGCCGGGCGACGGUUGUCCCGGUUUAAGCGUGUAGGUGUGUGUUCCAGGUAAAUCCGGUUCACUUUAACACUGAGGCGUGACGACGAGGCACUACGGUGCUGAAGCAACAAAUGCCCUGCUUCCAGGAAAAGCCUCUAAGCAUCAGGUAACAUCAAAUCGUACCCCAAACCGACACAGGUGGUCAGGUAGAGAAUACCAAGGCGCUUGAGAGAACUCGGGUGAAGGAACUAGGCAAAAUGGUGCCGUAACUUCGGGAGAAGGCACGCUGACACGUAGGUGAAGUGAUUUACUCAUGGAGCUGAAGUCAGUCGAAGAUACCAGCUGGCUGCAACUGUUUAUUAAAAACACAGCACUGUGCAAACAUGAAAGUGGACGUAUACGGUGUGACGCCUGCCCGGUGCCGGAAGGUUAAUUGAUGGGGUCAGCGCAAGCGAAGCUCCUGAUCGAAGCCCCGGUAAACGGCGGCCGUAACUAUAACGGUCCUAAGGUAGCGAAAUUCCUUGUCGGGUAAGUUCCGACCUGCACGAAUGGCGUAAUGAUGGCCAGGCUGUCUCCACCCGAGACUCAGUGAAAUUGAACUCGCUGUGAAGAUGCAGUGUACCCGCGGCAAGACGGAAAGACCCCGUGAACCUUUACUAUAGCUUGACACUGAACAUUGAGCCUUGAUGUGUAGGAUAGGUGGGAGGCUUUGAAGUGUGGACGCCAGUCUGCAUGGAGCCGACCUUGAAAUACCACCCUUUAAUGUUUGAUGUUCUAACGUGGACCCGUAAUCCGGGUUGCGGACAGUGUCUGGUGGGUAGUUUGACUGGGGCGGUCUCCUCCUAAAGAGUAACGGAGGAGCACGAAGGUUGGCUAAUCCUGGUCGGACAUCAGGAGGUUAGUGCAAUGGCAUAAGCCAGCUUGACUGCGAGCGUGACGGCGCGAGCAGGUGCGAAAGCAGGUCAUAGUGAUCCGGUGGUUCUGAAUGGAAGGGCCAUCGCUCAACGGAUAAAAGGUACUCCGGGGAUAACAGGCUGAUACCGCCCAAGAGUUCAUAUCGACGGCGGUGUUUGGCACCUCGAUGUCGGCUCAUCACAUCCUGGGGCUGAAGUAGGUCCCAAGGGUAUGGCUGUUCGCCAUUUAAAGUGGUACGCGAGCUGGGUUUAGAACGUCGUGAGACAGUUCGGUCCCUAUCUGCCGUGGGCGCUGGAGAACUGAGGGGGGCUGCUCCUAGUACGAGAGGACCGGAGUGGACGCAUCACUGGUGUUCGGGUUGUCAUGCCAAUGGCACUGCCCGGUAGCUAAAUGCGGAAGAGAUAAGUGCUGAAAGCAUCUAAGCACGAAACUUGCCCCGAGAUGAGUUCUCCCUGAGACUUAGAGUCUCCUGAAGGAACGUUGAAGACGACGACGUUGAUAGGCCGGGUGUGUAAGCGCAGCGAUGCGUUGAGCUAACCGGUACUAAUGAACCGUGAGGCUUAACCUUACA